rnacentral:rRNA from 1 species
GGAGUUAGCCGGUGCUUCUUCUGUGAGUGAUGUCCUUCCUGCCGGCUAUUAACCCGCAGGCCUUCUUCCUCACUGAAAGUGCUUUACAACCCGAAGGCCUUCUUCACACACGCGGCAUGGCUGGAUCAGGGUUGCCCCCAUUGUCCAAUAUUCCCCACUGCUGCCUCCCGUAGGAGUCUGGGCCGUGUCUCAGUCCCAGUGUGGCUGAUCAUCCUCUCAGACCAGCUACGGAUCGUCGCCUUGGUGAGCCGUUACCUCACCAACCAUCUAAUCCGACAUAGGCUCAUCCGAUAGCGCGAGGCCCGAAGGUCCCCCGCUUUCCCCCGUAGGGCGUAUGCGGUAUUAGCCUGGGUUUCCCCAGGUUAUCCCCCACUACCGGGCAGAUUCCUAUGCAUUACUCACCCGUCCGCCGCUCGCCACCAGGGAGCAAGCUCCCCGUGCUGCCGCUCGACUUGCAUGUGUUAGGCCUGCCGCCAGCGUUCAAUCUGAGCCAUGAUCAAACUCUGA